rnacentral:rRNA from 1 species
UACGGGGGGGGUAAGCGUUGUUCGGAAUUACUGGGCGUAAAGGGCGCGUAGGCGGCCUCUGCAAGUCGACUGUGAAAUCUCCGGGCUUAACCCGGAAAGGUCAGCCGAUACUGCAGGGCUAGAGUGCAGAAGGGGCAAGCUGGAAUUCUCGGGUGUAGCGGUGAAAUGCGUAGAUAUCGAGAGGAACACCUGCGGCGAAGGCGGGUUGCUGGGCUGACACUGACGCUGAGGCGCGAAAGCUAGGGGAGCGAACGGG